CAUUUCUCAUGUGGCUGCAGAGG
rnacentral:piRNA from 1 species